GACGAACGCUGGCGGCGUGCUUAACACAUGCAAGUCGAACGGAAAGGCCCUGCGUUUGUGGGGUGCUCGAGUGGCGAACGGGUGAGUAACACGUGAGUAACCUGCCCUUGACUUUGGGGUAACUUUAGGAAACUGGGGCUAAUACCGGGUAGGAGCUCCUGCUGCGUGGGGGGGAUUGGAAAGUUUCGGCGGUGGGGGAUGGACUCGCGGCUUAUGAGCUUGUUGGUGGGGUGGUGGCUUACCAAGGUUUUGACGGGUAGCCGGCCUGAGAGGGUGACCGGCCACAUUGGGACUGAGAUACGGCCCAGACGCCUACGGGAGGCAGCAGUGGGGAAUAUGGCACAAUGGGCGGAAGCCUGAUGCAGCAACGCUGCGUGCGGGAUGACGGCCUUCGGGUUGUAAACCGCUUUCGCCUGUGACGAAGCGUGAGUGACGGUAAUGGGUAAAGAAGCACCGGCUAACUACGUG
rnacentral:rRNA from 1 species